rnacentral:rRNA from 1 species
GGACCGUACGAACGUUAUUCGGAAUCACUGGGCUUAAAGGGUGCGCAGGCGGCUUGUCAAGUUGGGUGUGAAAUCCCUCGGCUCAACCGAGGAAUUGCGCUCAAAACUGGCAGGCUUGAGGAAGACAGAGGUGAGCGGAACUCAGGGUGGAGCGGUGAAAUGCGUUGAUAUCCUGGGGAACACCAGUAGCGAAGGCGGCUCACUGGGUCUUUUCUGACGCUCAGGCACGAAAGCUAGGGGGAGCGAACGGGAUUAGAUACCCCGGUAGUCCUAGCUGUAAACGAUGAGCACUGGGUUGGAGGGUCCUCCAUAGCCUUCCAGCCGUAGCGAAAGUGUUAAGUGCUCCGCCUGGGAUAUGGUCGCAAGGCUG